rnacentral:rRNA from 1 species
CAUCGCCUAAAGUUAACAUCUUAGGUACCGCCUGCCCGAUGACGUGUGAAUGGCCGCAGUACCCUGACUGUGCAAAGGUAGCAUAAUCAUUUGUCUUUUAAUUGAAGGCUUGUAUGAAUGGCGACACGGGGUGCCUACUCUCAUUCUUUUAAUCUGUAAACUUAAUCUGUAAGUCAAAAAGCUUACAUAUUUACGCAGGACGAGAAGACCCCGUAGAUCUUGACGCUAACAACAUCGGUAGUAACGGAAUCCAUGUAACCGUGCGUUUUCCCCGUUUGAUUGGGGCGAUCAGAAGCUGAAACGCUUCUUAACCACACCCAGAUUUAUGGUAUUACGAGCCGUGUACGAUCGAAAGAUUAAGUUACCUCGGGGAUAACAGCGUAAUUUAAAUUUAGAGUUCUUAUCAAAAUUUAAGAUUGCGACCUCGAUGUUGGAUUAAGAUUCCUGCCGGGCGUAGCAACUCGUAUAGGAGGUCUGUUCGACCUUUAAACUCUUACAUGAUCU